rfam:Arabis alpina cultivar Pajares Aa.chr6_contig_3955, whole genome shotgun sequence.
GAAGUAAAGAUGAAAAUAAUUGACUAAGGAUGAUUAACAAGUAACUAGAGAUGCCAAUUAAGUUC